rnacentral:rRNA from 1 species
CCUACGGGAGGCAGCAGUGAGGAAUAUUGGUCAAUGGACGAGAGUCUGAACCAGCCAAGUAGCGUGAAGGAUGACUGCCCUAUGGGUUGUAAACAUCUUUUAUAUGGGAAUAAAACAGGGUAUGCAUACCUUCUCGUAUGUACCAUAUGAAUAAGGAUAGGCUAACUCAGUGCCAGCAGCCGCGGUAAUACGGAGGAGCCGAGCGUUAUCCGGAUUUAUGGGGUUUAGAGGGAGCGUAGGUGGAUUGUUAAGUCAGUUGUGAAAGUGUGCGGCUCAACCGUAAAAUUGCAGUUGAAACUGGCAGGCUGGAGUACAGUAGAGGUGGGCAGAAUUCGUGGUGUAGCGGUGAAAUGCUUAGAUAUCACGAAGAACUCCGAUUGCGAAGGCAGCUCACUGGACUGCAACUGACACUGAGGCUCGAAAGUGUGGGGAUCAAACAGGAUUAGAUACCCCUGUAGUC